rnacentral:rRNA from 1 species
GACGAACCAUGCGAACGUUGUUCGGAAUCACUGGGCUUAAAGGGCGCGUAGGCGGGCUGUCAAGUCUGGGGUGAAAUGCUGCGGCUCAACCGUAGAACUGCCUUAGAUACUGACGGCCUCGAGGAAGGUAGGGGCAUGCGGAACUGUAGGUGGAGCGGUGAAAUGCGUUGAUAUCUACAGGAACUCCGGUGGCGAAAGCGGCGUGCUGGACCUUUUCUGACGCUGAGGCGCGAAAGCUAGGGGAGCAAACGGG